CCUACGUGCGGCAGCAGUGAGGAAUAUUGGUCAAUGGACGCAAGUCUGAACCAGCGAAGUAGCGUGCAGGAUGACGGCCCUCCGGGUUGUAAACUGCUUUUAGAUGGGAAUAACAGGAGGCUCGUAAUCACCGUAUUGUUUGUACCAUCAGCAAAAGAACCGGCUAAUUCCGUGCCAGCAGCCGCGGUAAUACGGAAGGUCCUGGCGUUAUCCGGAUUUAUUGGGUUGAAAGGGAGCGUAGGCCGGCUUUUAAGUCAGCUGUGAAAGUCCGCGGCUCAACGGUGGAAUUGCAGUUGAAACUGGAGGCCUUGAGUGCACACAGGGAUGCCGGAAUUCAUGGUGUAGCGGUGAAAUGCUUAGAUAUCAUGAAGAACUCCGAUCGCGAAGGCAAGUGUCCGGGGUGCAACUGACGCUGAGGAUCGAAAGUGCGGGUAUCAAACAGGAUUAGAUACCCUAGUAGUC
rnacentral:rRNA from 1 species